rnacentral:tRNA from 1 species
AAGCCCCGGGCACCCUUAGGGGGUGUGUCUCCAAAUUUGCACUUCGG